UACGUAGGAGACGAGCGUUGUCCGGAUUUACUGGGCGUAAAGGGUGCGCAGGUGGCGGCGCGCGUGGGGGGUGAAAUCGCCCGGCUUAACUGGGCGGGGGCCUUCCAGACGGCGUGGCUUGAGCAGCGGAGGGGGACGUGGAAUUCCGGGUGGAGCGGUGAAAUGCGUAGAGAUCCGGAGGAACACCGACGGCGUAGGCAGCGUCCUGGCCGCUUGCUGACACUGAGGCACGAAAGCGGGGGGAGCAAACAGG
rnacentral:rRNA from 1 species